AGUGAACGCUGGCGGCGUGGAUUAGGCAUGCAAGUCGAACGAUACCGUAAGGUAUAGUGGCAAAAGGGCGAGUAACACGUGAGAAAUCUACCUUUGAGCGGGGAAUAACCUUGGGAAACCAUGGCUAAAACCGCAUAAGACCACGACAGGGCAUCCUGUUGUGAUCGAAAAGGGGGACCGCAAGGCCUCCUGCUCGAAGAUGAUCUCGCGUCCUAUCAGCUUGUUGGCGGGUAAUGGCCCACCAAGGCUUUGACGGGUAGCUGGACUGAGAGGUUGGUCAGCCGCAUUCGGGACUGAGACACUGCCCAGACACCUACGGGAGGCAG
rnacentral:rRNA from 1 species